UACAGAGGUCUCAACCGUUGUUCGGAUUCAUUGGGCGUAAAGGGUGCGUGCGGCGUCGCGCAAGUCGGAUGUGAAAUCUCAGGGCUCAACCCUGAAACUGCAUUCGAUACUGCGUGGCUAGAGUGCUGGAGGGGAGACUGGAAUUUACGGUGUAGCAGUGAAAUGCGUAGAUAUCGUAAGGAAGACCAGUGGCGAAGGCGAGUCUCUGGACAGCAACUGACGCUGAGGCACGAAGGCCAGGGGAGCAAACGGG
rnacentral:rRNA from 1 species